GACGAACGCUGGCGGCGUGCUUAACACAUGCAAGUCGAACGGAAAGGCCCUGCUUUUGUGGGGUGCUCGAGUGGCGAACGGGUGAGUAACACGUGAGUAACCUGCCCUUGACUUUGGGAUAACUUCAGGAAACUGGGGCUAAUACCGGAUAGGAGCUCCUGCUGCAUGGUGGGGGUUGGAAAGUUUCGGCGGUUGGGGAUGGACUCGCGGCUUAUCAGCUUGUUGGUGGGGUAGUGGCUUACCAAGGCUUUGACGGGUAGCCGGCCUGAGAGGGUGACCGGCCACAUUGGGACUGAGAUACGGCCCAGACUCCUACGGGAGGCAGCAGUGGGGAAUAUUGCACAAUGGGCGGAAGCCUGAUGCAGCAACGCCGCGUGCGGGAUGACGGCCUUCGGGUUGUAAACCGCUUUCGCCUGUGACGAAGCGUGAGUGACGGUAAUGGGUAAAGAAGCACCGGCUAACUACGUGCCAGCAGCCGCGGUGAUACGUAGGGUGCGAGCGUUGUCCGGAUUUAUUGGGCGUAAAGGGCUCGUAGGUGGUUGAUCGCGUCGGAAGUGUAAUCUUGGGGCUUAACCCUGAGCGUGCUUUCGAUACGGGUUGACUUGAGGAAGGUAGGGGAGAAUGGAAUUCCUGGUGGAGCGGGGGAAUGCGCAGAUAUCAGGAGGAACACCAGUGGCGAAGGCGGUUCUCUGGGCCUUUCCUGACGCUGAGGAGCGAAAGCGUGGGGAGCGAACAGGCUUAGAUACCCUGGUAGUCCACGCUGUAAACGGUGGGUACUAGGUGUGGGGUCCAUUCCACGGGUUCCGUGCCGUAGCUAACGCUUUAAGUACCCCGCCUGGGGAGUACGGCCGCAAGGCUAAAACUCAAAGGAAUUGACGGGGCCCCGCACAAGCGGCGGAGCAUGCGGAUUAAUUCGACGCAACGCGUAGAACCUUACCUGGGUUUGACAUGGAUCGGGAGUGCCCAGAGAUGGGUGUGCCUCUUUUGGGGUCGGUUCACAGGUGGUGCAUGGCUGUCGUCAGCUCGUGUCGUGAGAUGUUGGGUUAAGUCCCGCAACGAGCGCAACCCUUGUUCACUGUUGCCAGCACGUUAUGGUGGGGACUCAGUGGAGACCGCCGGGGUCAACUCGGAGGAAGGUGGGGAUGACGUCAAGUCAUCAUGCCCCUUAUGUCCAGGGCUUCACGCAUGCUACAAUGGCUGGUACAGAGAGUGGCGAGCCUGUGAGGGUGAGCGAAUCUCGGAAAGCCGGUCUCAGUUCGGAUUGGGGUCUGCAACUCGACCUCAUGAAGUCGGAGUCGCUAGUAAUCGCAGAUCAGCAACGCUGCGGUGAAUACGUUCCCGGG
rnacentral:rRNA from 1 species